rnacentral:misc_RNA from 1 species
GAUGAAGAACGCAGCGAAAUGCGAUACGUAAUGUGAAUUGCAAAUUCAGUGAAUCAUCGAGUCUUUGAACGCACAUUGCGCCCCCUGGUAUUCCGGGGGGCAUGCCUGUCCGAGCGUCAUUGCUGCCCUCAAGCACGGCUUGUGUGUUGGGCCCCGUCCUCCGAUCCCGGGGGACGGGCCCGAAAGGCAGCGGCGGCACCGCGUCCGGUCCUCGAGCAUAUGGGGCUUUGUCACCCGCUCUGUAGGCCCGGCCGGCGCUUGCCGAUCAACCCAAAUUUUUUAUCCAGGUUGACCUCGGAUCAGGUAGGGAUACCCGCUGAACUUAAGCAUAUCAAUAAGCGGAGA